rnacentral:rRNA from 1 species
CAACAGGGAUUGCCCUAGUAACGGCGAGUGAAGCGGCAACAGCUCAAAUUUGAAAUCUGGCUUUCGGGCCCGAGUUGUAAUUUGUAGAGGAUACUUUUGAUGCGGUGCCUUCCGAGUUCCCUGGAACGGGACGCCAUAGAGGGUGAGAGCCCCGUCUGGUUGGAUGCCAAAUCUCUGUAAAGUUCCUUCGACGAGUCGAGUAGUUUGGGAAUGCUGCUCUAAAUGGGAGGUAUAUGUCUUCUAAAGCUAAAUAUUGGCCAGAGACCGAUAGCGCACAAGUAGAGUGAUCGAAAGAUGAAAAGCACUUUGAAAAGAGAGUUAAAAAGUACGUGAAAUUGUUGAAAGGGAAGCGUUUAUGACCAGACUUGGACUUGGUUAAUCAUCUGGGGUUCUCCCCAGUGCACUUUUCCAGUUCAGGCCAGCAUCAGUUUUCGCCGGGGGAUAAAGGCUUCGGGAAUGUAGCUCUCUUCGGGGAGUGUUAUAGCCCGUUGUGUAUAAUACCCUGGCGGAGACUGAGGUUCGCGCUUCUGCAAGGAUGCUGGCGUAAUGGUCAUCAACGACCCGUCUUGAAACACGGACCAAGGAGUCGUCUUCGUAUGCGAGUGUUCGGGUGUCAAACCCCUACGCGUAAUGAAAGUGAACGCAGGUGAGAGCUUCGGCGCAUCAUCGACCGAUCCUGAUGUUCUCGGAUGGAUUUGAGUAAGAGCAUACGGGGCCGGACCCGAAAGAAGGUGAACUAUGCCUGUAUAGGGUGAAGCCAGAGGAAACUCUGGUGGAGGCUCGCAGCGGUUCUGACGUGCAAAUCGAUCGUCAAAUAUGGGCAUGGGGGCGAAAGACUAAUCGAACCUUCUAGUAGCUGG